GACGAACGCUGGCGGCGUGCCUAAUACAUGCAAGUAGAACGCUGAAGAGAGGAGCUUGCUCUUCUUGGAUGAGUUGCGAACGGGUGAGUAACGCGUAGGUAACCUGCCUGGUAGCGGGGGAUAACUAUUGGAAACGAUAGCUAAUACCGCAUAAAAUGGAUUAUCGCAUGAUAAUGCAUUGAAAGGUGCAAAUGCAUCACUACCAGAUGGACCUGCGUUGUAUUAGCUAGUUGGUGGGGUAACGGCUCACCAAGGCGACGAUACAUAGCCGACCUGAGAGGGUGAUCGGCCACACUGGGACUGAGACACGGCCCAGACUCCUACGGGAGGCAGCAGUAGGGAAUCUUCGGCAAUGGACGGAAGUCUGACCGAGCAACGCCGCGUGAGUGAAGAAGGUUUUCGGAUCGUAAAGCUCUGUUGUAAGAGAAGAACGAGUGUGAGAGUGGAAAGUUCACACUGUGACGGUAUCUUACCAGAAAGGGACGGCUAACUACGUGCCAGCAGCCGCGGUAAUACGUAGGUCCCGAGCGUUGUCCGGAUUUAUUGGGCGUAAAGCGAGCGCAGGCGGUUAGAUAAGUCUGAAGUUAAAGGCUGUGGCUUAACCAUAGUACGCUUUGGAAACUGUUUAACUUGAGUGCAAGAGGGGAGAGUGGAAUUCCAUGUGUAGCGGUGAAAUGCGUAGAUAUAUGGAGGAACACCGGUGGCGAAAGCGGCUCUCUGGCUUGUAACUGACGCUGAGGCUCGAAAGCGUGGGGAGCAAACAGG
rnacentral:rRNA from 1 species